UACGUAGGGUGCAAGCGUUAAUCGGAAUUACUGGGCGUAAAGCGUGCGCAGGCGGUUGUUUAAGUCAGCUGUGAAAUCCCCGGGCUUAACCUGGGAAUGGCAGUUGAGACUGGACGGCUAGAGUGUGUCAGAGGGGGGUAGAAUUCCACGUGUAGCAGUGAAAUGCGUAGAGAUGUGGAGGAACACCGAUGGCGAAGGCAGCCCCCUGGGAUAACACUGACGCUCAUGCACGAAAGCGUGGGGAGCAAACAGG
rnacentral:rRNA from 1 species